rnacentral:rRNA from 1 species
AUUGAACGCUGGCGGCAGGCUUAACACAUGCAAGUCGAACGAGUGGCGGACGGGUGAGUAAUGUCUGGGAAACUGCCUGAUGGAGGGGGAUAACUACUGGAAACGGUAGCUAAUACCGCAUACCAUCAGAUGUGCCCAGAUGGGAUUAGCUAGUAGGUGGGGUAAAGGCUCACCUAGGCGACGAUCCCUAGCUGGUCUGAGAGGAUGACCAGCCACACUGGAACUGAGACACGGUCCAGACUCCUACGGGAGGCAGCAGUGGGGAAUAUUGCACAAUGGGCGCAAGCCUGAUACAGCCAUGCCGCGUGUAUGAAGAAGGCCUUCGGGUUGUAAAGGACUUUCAGCGGGGAGGCGUUACCCGCAGAAGAAGCACCGGCUAACUCCGUGCCAGCAGCCGCGGUAAUUC